AUUUUGGUACAGCUGUGAUAAUAAAUCUGUAAAAUAAUUUAAUUAUGUAUUUCUGUAUUUUUGUCUAAAUUAUCUGUCUGGGUUGAUUUUUUUUUUAAGUAGGUAAAGAAACCUUAUUUGUUGCAAUGCUUUUUUAAAUAGUUUAAAGAUGCAGUUUGUAUUAUUUUCGCCGCUAGAUGGCGCCAGAUCAAACAAUAACAAUGAUGUUGUUUACUGACGCUCUGAAGCAACGUGGAAUUAUGGGAUUUGUAGUCUUUAACUCAACCACUGAUGGCCAUCAAUCAGACGCGAACGAGAAAUCACGUAAGGUAAUCAAGUCUUAUAAAUGUUGCGUUUGAUGACAUCGUUUAUUUCAUUAUGUAAGUUUAUAUGGGAUGUUCAAAACGAAAUUGUUAGUCAUAUUGAUAUUACAGUAUUAGUCCGAAAUUCGAUGGUAAACACAGCACAGAAUUAAGUUUUCAACUUACAAUCUACAAUGAUUUUUGACAUAAUGUAUUGACAGUACAAAUCUUAUUGUGAAGUGUCUUAAAGAGCACCUAUUAUGGGAUACACGUUUUUAAACAUCCUUUUGUGUGUAAGUGUGCAUUAGUACAUGCUAACGAUAUUCAAAAAGUACAUACCUCAAAGAAAACGAUGACGCGAGUUAUCGUCUCUAACGUUCGAGGACUACAAAAAACACUCGGAUUGUAGGCAACAGUUUACUUCCUGGGAUUAGUGACGUAGAUAAGACCAACAUUAUCAUAGUUCAGCCCUCUCUGCUUUGCUUGGGUACGCCCUCAAAGACGAGGGUGGGGUGGGGAGCGCCGAGUCAGAAGAGAGCUAAAAUGGCGGAGGUUGUGAGUCCCUGCUUUGACUCUGUUUGCAAACUCUUGUUUCAUUGUUUAAGCGAUUACAUCUCUCGAGUAGACGCUGUCUCUUUAGAUGCGAGGGCAAAAUAGCACUUUAUGGACUUCCACAGAGGACAUCAUGUUUAAUACGGUUCCGGAAAAAUCCAGUCAGAAGUUGUUCACGGAGUUUUCACAAUAACUGCUUCUCAUGAACCGAACCUGGACGUCUCCUUCUGAAAGUUGGAUUACUGUGCACUUCUGGAUCACAGGCUAUUCGCAGCUGGACACAUCCUUCUACACUGUAUGCAAACAUGCAACAUCAUUACACACAGUACAAGGAGUCAGACUGGCAUAUGAGGAGCAAAGGAACCCAGGCAGUAGCAUCGUUUCACAAUGUUUCCAUCACCAUCAUCAGUGGAUGCCUUUGCCGUCCGUAGCCUGAGAUUUCAGAUUUGCAGCAAAAAAAUUUGAUUUUCUCAUUUAUUGGAAUGCUAUGCAGGUUGUACCUUGCAGCCAUCCAUUACAAUGUCACCAAGCCGUAACAAAAGCAGGGGAGGGAAAGUACAAGGCUAUGUUCCCAAAACACACAAAUGACAUACCUUAUGUGGAUGAUGUGAUCAGGCUUGUGUUUGAUGAGGUAUUUGAAGAUAAGCUGAAGGAAACCCCGAUUCCAAUGGACCUGGCAUCACAGUUUGAGAGACCUUCAAAGGAGGACGUGAUUGCAUGCCAUCUUCAGUGCAG